AAAGAUCUACAUGUAUAAGAUCAAAACACACAGCUGCUCUAUUCUUACUAUCUGGAAAUAGUAACCUAGCUUGUUUAGCUAAAGGACAAACAUGACAAGUACUUAAGGAAUCUAUGUCUUUAUUCUGCUUUAAAAACACUACUGACUUCAGAACUUGAGAGGAGGGAUGGCCAAGUCUUUUAUGCCAUAGAUUGAUGUCGUGUACUACUACUCCUGCAAUCAAACUUUGCUGUUUUUGAGCCUUAGAAGUUUCCUUCAUUCCAUGUGUACCUUUGAAAAUGUAUAGCCCUCCCUUUUCCUUACCAAUCCCCUUCACCUUGCCACUGUGAAGGUCCUGAAACACACAAAAAUCAGGAUAAAAGGAUACAAAACAGGACAGUUGUUUAGUAGCCUUGGAUACUGACAGUAGGUUAAACUUGAAAUCAGGCACUAAUAACACAUCUUUCACAACUGCAUCUUCAAAAACAAAUGCUUCUCCAAUGUGUGAUAUAUCUGCCUUAGCACCAGUAGGAAGAUGUACCUUAUCCCUCACCUCAUGAUUCUUUGAAAACACACUCUUAUUUGCUGUCACAUGGUGAGUAGCACCAGAAUCUAUGAUCCACUCUUGUGAUUCUACAGGAGACAAUAAGCAAGUAGACAUACCUGACAUAUUGAUCUGUUUCAUCUCAUGUGGAUCCUUGUUCAACAGCUC
rnacentral:lncRNA from 1 species